rnacentral:sRNA from 1 species
AAAAUAGAAUGAUUUUGCACCAUCUAAUCAAGCUAUUUGUCUCCCCACUCUCCCCAUCCCCCCUUUUUUUUUUAAAGAUUAAUGGGAUAGAGGUGCAGAACCGUGAAGAGGCUGUGGCUCUUCUAACCAGUGAAGAAAAUAAAAACUUUUCAUUGCUGAUUGCAAGGCCUGAACUCCAGCUGGAUGAGGGCUGGAUGGACGAUGACAGGAACGACUUUCUGGAUGACCUGCACAUGGACAUGCUGGAGGAGCAGCACCACCAGGCCAUGCAAUUCACAGCUAGCGUGCUUCAGCAGAAGAAGCACGACGAAGACGGUGGGACCACAGAUACAGCCACCAUCUUGUCCAACCAGCACGAGAAGGACAGCGGUGUGGGGCGGACCGACGAGAGCACCCGUAAUGACGAGAGCUCGGAGCAAGAGAACAAUGGCGACGACGCCACCGCAUCCUCCAACCCGCUGGCGGGGCAGAGGAAGCUCACCUGCAGCCAGGACACCUUGGGCAGCGGCGACCUGCCCUUCAGCAACGAGUCUUUCAUUUCGGCCGACUGCACGGACGCCGACUACCUGGGGAUCCCGGUGGACGAGUGCGAGCGCUUCCGCGAGCUCCUGGAGCUCAAGUGCCAGGUGAAGAGCGCCACCCCUUACGGCCUGUACUACCCUAGCGGCCCCCUGGACGCCGGCAAGAGUGACCCUGAGAGCGUGGACAAGGAGCUGGAGCUGCUGAACGAGGAGCUGCGCAGCAUCGAGCUGGAGUG